AGAGUUUGAUCAUGGCUCAGAAUGAACGUUGGCGGCGUGGAUUAGGCAUGCAAGUCGUACGCACAGCUUCGGCUGUGAGUGGCGCAAGGGUGAGUAAUGCGAAGGUAACCAACCCUGGAGUUGGGCAUAACCGCGGGAAACUGCGGGUAAUUCCCAGCGAUGUCUCGAGAUGGCAUCAUCUUGCGACCAAAGGUGUGAUUCCGCUCUAGGACGGGCCUUCGUGGUAUUAGGUAGUUGGUGAGGUAACGGCUCACCCAAGCCGACGAUGCCUACCGGGUGUGAGAGCAUGACCCGGCACACUGGAACUGAGACACUGUCCAGACACCUACGGGUGGCUGCAGUCGAGAAUCUUCGGCAAUGGGCGAAAGCCUGACCGAGCGACGCCGCGUGAGGGAAGAAGGCCUUCGGGUUGUAAACCUCUUUCGUAGAGGAGGAAGGGGCCGUGCAGAGCGGUCUUUGACCUAUUCUAGGAAGAAGCUUGGGCUAAGUUCGUG
rnacentral:rRNA from 1 species